GAUGAACGCUGGCGGCGUGCCUAACACAUGCAAGUCGAGCGAUUCUCUUCGGAGAAGAGCGGCGGACGGGUGAGUAACGCGUGGGUAACCUGCCCUGUACACACGGAUAACAUACCGAAGGGUAUGCUAAUACGAGAUAAUAUGCUUCUAUCGCAUGGCAGAAGUAUCAAAGCUUUUGCGGUACAGGAUGGACCCGCGUCUGAUUAGCUAGUUGGUAAGGUAACGGCUUACCAAGGCGACGAUCAGUAGCCGACCUGAGAGGGUGAUCGGCCACAUUGGAGCUGAGACACGGUCCAAACUCCUACGGGAGGCAGCAGUGGGGAAUAUUGCACAAUGGGCGAAAGCCUGAUGCAGCAACGCCGCGUGAGCGAUGAAGGCCUUCGGGUCGUAAAGCUCUGUCCUCAAGGAAGAUAAUGACGGUACUUGAGGAGGAAGCCCCGGCUAACUACGUGCCAGCCGCCGCAGUAA
rnacentral:rRNA from 1 species